CAAGCAGUGGGAGGGGAAAGUGAUCUCUGACCGCGUGCCUGUUGAAGAAUGAGCCGGCGACUCAUAGGCAAUGGCUUGGUUAAGGGAAAGGAACCCACCGGACCGUAGCGAAAGCGAGUCUUAAUAGGGCGAUUGUCACUGCUUAUGGACCCGAACCUGGGUGAUCUAUCCAUGACCAGGAUGAAGCUUGGAUGAAACUAAGCAGAGGUCCGAACCGACUGAUGUUGAAGAAUCAGCGGAUGAGUUG
rnacentral:ncRNA from 1 species